AUUGAACGCUGGCGGCAGGCCUAACACAUGCAAGUCGAACGAGUGGCGGACGGGUGAGUAAUGUCUGGGAAACUGCCUGCUGGAGGGGGUUAACUACUGGAAACGGUAGCUAAUACCGCAUACCAUCGGAUGUGCCCAUAUGGGAUUAGCUAGUAGGUGGGGUAAAGGCUCACCUAGGCGACGAUCCCUAGCUGGUCUGAGAGGAUGACCAGCCACACUGGAAAUGAGACACGGUCCAGACUCCUACGGGAGGCAGCAGUGGGGAAUAUUGGACAAUGGGCGCAAGCCGGAUGCGGCCAUGCCGCGUGUAUGAAGAAGGCGUUCGGGUUGUAAAGUACUUUCAGCGGGGAGGCGUUACCCGCAGAAGAAGCACCGGCUAACUCCGUGCCAGCAGCCGCGGUAAUUC
rnacentral:rRNA from 1 species